rnacentral:rRNA from 1 species
UACGUAGGGGGCAAGCGUUGUCCGGAAUCAUUGGGCGUAAAGAGCGUGUAAGCGGCUUGGUAAGUCCGCUGUGAAAGUCCAGGGCUCAACCCUGGAAUGCCGGUGGAAACUGUCAAGCUUGAGUCCGAAAGAGGCGAGUGGAAUUCCUGGUGUAGCGGUGAAAUGCGCAGAUAUCAGGAGGAACACCAAUGGCGAAGGCAGCUCGCUGGGACGGUACUGACGCUGAGACGCGAAAGCGUGGGGAGCAAACAGG